ACAAACCACAACAACCAGCUCAAAACUAUAAGUUUCAGUGAAAAACGAAACUUAACUGUUCCUUGUCCAGUAUCACUGGCUGUAAAAGGACGCUCAUUACUGCUGCUCUGAUCAACGUGAGCAGAUCAAACACCGAACGCUGAAAAGCUGGGUUGGAAACCCAGCAAGCAAAUCUACUUUUUCUGCAUUCCUCCAGCUGAGGUGAAGGAAACGAUCGCUGACUGAUAAACUCCAACUCCAUCAGGACCUGACUGGGAACGAGCGGAGCCCAUCCCGCUCUCAGAGACGCUAAAUAGAGCUGGUCUGAGCGCAGCACAAACCAUCGAAGCUGCCAAUUCUUCAUGAUACUGCGCUGCUUCUUCAGCCAUCCGGUCUUCAGCGCCCCCUCCUGGAGGCUAGGGGAACCCGGCCGGCAAGAGCCUCGUGACACCUCUCCCAUCACCAUGCUCUUUGACCUGGCUGCGAACACACACAUACAACAACAGCAUGUUUUUCUGGUGUGUAUUCAAUAAAAGUCAUAUAAGGGUGGA